AAACCGCCUAGAGGUAAACGGGUGGAUCCGCAAAGUCGGCCCGCGGAAUUCAGCUCGGGAGGUCGCGCGCCCGCGGGUGGGUCGGGGAUCUUUAUCGACCCUCCCACCUCGGGACCGCGCGUCGACCGUGUGCACUUUCCGCGGGCAGAGCGCCACGACCGGUUCUCGGGCGGUCAGAAGGCGGCGGGGAUGGUAGGCGUGCGCCUCGGCGCGCGCUGGUAUAGCCCCGCCUGUCCCGAUCCGCUCGGGGACCGAGGAGCCGCCGCCGGCAGAGGCCGCCUUGCCUUCCCGGGAGGUUCGACUGGCAGAGACUGGGCAACCGUGUCUGCCGACCGCCUCUCUGGAUGGACGGGGUGGGCCCGCCGGCACAGGGUCGGUGGCGAAUCGGUCGGCCCUCCACCCGACCCGUCUUGAA
rnacentral:rRNA from 1 species